rnacentral:sRNA from 1 species
GCACUAGUUGGCUUCAAUUGAGAAUUAGUUGAGGCACCAACCCGCCUGAACUUGUGGCAAGUUGGUGUUUUGCGCGAUGUAUUUGCGGCAUGUUUUUUAUGCUUUAACAGUAGUCCUCCAAGAUUUUUCAUCCACCACUGGGUCUGCUGCGUGCUCUUUUCCAUUGUUUUCUCCUUCUACAUUCCCAUCAGGGGUGCGUUCUUCUACAAGCCAGAGAUCUCAAACUGCGUUUUUUUGAAGCACACCCCGCUUCAUCAACCCGUAGCGGUCACACAAUCUGACCCAUAAGCAAGACAUGACAAGAGAUGUGAUGGUAUGGCAAGUGGUGUCAAGGCCCAAGGGAACUCCUCUAGUGGAUUGCAUAUCUGAAAUUGUGACUACUUAUCUGAAUGCCACAAAUUUGAUAGAGUGCAUUAAGCGGUCCAACAAGCGACCAUUAUCUGAGGAUGCCCUGGUGGGCUUGGAAAUCUCGCUUGCCCUUGGACCCCCGAUAGUCCAGGGCCAGUAUGAUUGCAGCAUCAAGCGCAUUGGUCAACAGUAUGUGUACGGGGAC